CUGCAGCAGGGGAAGCAUCGCAUCGGAUCGGCAGUGACAGGACUACAUCUCGCGAGAACAGGAAAUAGCAGAGCAGCUGUUGAGAGAAUCCAUGCAAGAGUCAGCGCAAGCUCUGGAGAACUACCCAGCAUAAAGGAUAAGCCCUGCAGAAAGCUCCUCGUCUGAGCUGCUGUGCUCGGGGCCCCAUGGGUGCGGGGCCCAAUUGAGCACAAUAGGUCCAAAUGGCCUAAGGCUGUGCCCCACUGGAAAGGAGACGGUAAAGUUUGGCUGUGACUCCCCCACUGCUUAUCCUUCCCCAACCACCAGCUCCCUCCUCAUUGCGCCCUCUUGUGGUUGACACAGAAGCACAAGCACCCGCCUCACUGAAGGUGAUUAGCCAGAAACGCCCAUUCGACGUGACGUUGCACUGCCCAGAAAUGGUCGCUGCCGGCUGCAAAUGCUACUAAGGAACAGGCCCCCGCCGGGCCCCCUGUACCCCCGGGCCCCCCCGCGACUGCGGGGUCUGCUUCCUCGGUAGUUACGCCACUGUGGUUGGGGAUCACUGCCCUAGAGCAUAGAACCUUCACCAUGAUCCAAUGUUUCCAGCACCCCAGAAGAGAAGCAUUUAUUCUAAUGACAGUGUGCCUUUAAUAGAGUGUCACACAAUGUACAAUAGGGGCCGCGCAUUCAAGCAAAUCACUCACUACACAGGCAGUACAGAGUUGGCUUUGAAGUCAUUACAGUGUCGACUACAGGAGACCCUGGGCCCUCUGGUUUCCAGAAAAAGAGCAGCGGUGACUACAGGUGUGGUUUCUGCUACAUGGAACUGGAGAAUAUCCCGGCUGGUGUCUAUAACAUUAUAACUACUACAUUUCUGCCUGCCCAGGAGGGACCCUUCUUUUUAGACUUCAACACCGCAUUAGCCAUUAAGGUGACCCAACUCCAGUGACCCGGGAAUUAAAAUCCGUUCUUCCAAGUGACAAAGAUUUGCAAGCAGAUUCCCAGUUCAAAGAGGCAUGAAAGAUCCUGCAUUUCCCUGAUGUGACAUUGUGCAUCUCCAGUACGGCUCACAGUCUUGUACAAUCAGAAUCUUCAAGGGAGUUGGGUACCACAGACAGCCCAAAUGUAACUUGUACUUGAAUCUUGUUUCAAAGGAUAGUGCUAUAAAAACUAUUUUUUCAA